GUGCAGUUUCAGCUGGCCACUGGAACUGACCGAACAACAAGACACAGUACUGAUGAUGGAGAAGAUGAGAGUCUGAAAUACUGAUUGAAGAUUCUUAACAAAAAUUCUGCAAAUGUUUCUAUGCUCCUCCUAUCAUUUCCAUCCUA